CAAUGGACUGGAACAUGGAGUGGAGGGUAAAUGAGUAAGACGAUUCCUGUUACAAAGACACUUGCUUGUUCAAGUUUAGAUGUAAGCUUUGUAAAACAUAAAGUGUCAUGUAAAAGCUGUGGACAAGACAAAAAAAAUGAAGCUGUUGUGGAAGCAGUUGCUUAGAUGAGCUCUGACGGUGUUCGGAUAUCACCGACUGUGGGUACGAAGUGAAAGCCUCUACUGUGAGUGUUUUGGAGCACAGAAGUAAAUAACUGAACAACUGUGAUUCCUGCAUCCACACAGGGGAGAAGGAGACAUGUAGACCAGUGCCUCUGACAUGGCCACGAGCAGAGUUAGCCAUCUUUGGAUCUGUUGGAAGCUCCACAGUGCCUAAAAGGAGAGAGAGGAUUGAUUAGAGGAGAAAUGUAUCUUUUGGACAAGAAGUGCUGUUUGCCAGAAAAUCAAGACAAUCCUGGACAACUAAUCUCAACUGUACCCCAGGGCUACUUCGCUAAUUGUGUUAGCAGAUGAAGUAUCUACAAUAAGUCAUAGGAACAACUGAUAUAAUCACACAUGCCCUGUAUCACAGCUUAAUGUGCUUUAUUAUUGUGACUAAGAUUUGUUUUAUACCCGUAGUCCUUACCUAAACUCAUUUGUAUAGUAUAGCUACACUUUCUUAUUAAAAUAA